rnacentral:rRNA from 1 species
CGUAAUAUAUUAGGAGGACCACCAGUGGGAAGGCGGGCUUUCUGACAAAAGACUCACGCUAAGGAACGAAAGCGUGGGGAGCGAACAGGAUUAGAUCCCCUGGUAGUCCACGCGGUAAACGAUGAGUGUUAGGUGUUGGAGUACCGAUACUUCAGUGCCGCAGCUAACGCAUUAAGCACUCCGCCUGGGGGAGUACGGUCGCAAGCCUGAAACUCAAAGGAAUUGACGGGGGCCCGCACAAGCAGCGGAGCAUGUGGUUUAAUUCGAAGCAACGCGAAGAACCUUACCAGGUCUUGACAUCCCGAUGCCGGUCUAGAGAUAGGCCUUUCUCUUCGGAGACAUCGGUGACAGGUGGUGCAUGGUUGUCGUCAGCUCGUGUCGUGAUAUGUUGGGUUAAGUCCCGCAACGAGCGCAACCCUUAUCUUUAGUUGCCAGCAUUCAGUUGGGCACUCUAGAGAGACUGCCGGGGACAACUCGGAGGAAGGUGGGGAUGACGUCAAAUCAUCAUGCCCCUUAUGACCUGGGCUACACACGUGCUACAAUGGUCGGUACAACAGGCAGCGAAGGAGCGAUCCGGAGCGAAUCUCAAAAGCCGAUCCCAGUUCGGAUUGCAGGCUGCAACUCGCCUGCAUGAAGCUGGAGUUGCUAGUAAUCGCGAAUCAGAAUGUCGCGGUGAACGCGUUCCCCG